rnacentral:rRNA from 1 species
ACUCCUACGGGAGGCAGCAGUGGGGAAUUUUGGACAAUGGGCGCAAGCCUGAUCCAGCCAUGCCGCGUGCGGGAAGAAGGCCUUCGGGUUGUAAACCGCUUUUGUCAGGGAAGAAAAGGUUCUGGCUAAUACCCGGGACUCAUGACGGUACCUGAAGAAUAAGCACCGGCUAACUACGUGCCAGCAGCCGCGGUAAUACGUAGGGUGCAAGCGAUAAUCGGAAUUACUGGGCGUAAAGCGUGCACAGGCGGUUAUGCAAGACAGAGGUGAAAUCCCCGGGCUCAACCUGGGAACUGCCUUUGUGACUGCAUAGCUAGAGUGCGGCAGAGGGGGAUGGAAUUCCGCGUGUAGCAGUGAAAUGCGUAGAUAUGCGGAGGAACACCGAUGGCGAAGGCAAUCCCCUGGGCCUGCACUGACGCUCAUGCACGAAAGCGUGGGGAGCAAACAGGAUUAGAUACCCUGGUAGUCCACGCCCUAAACGAUGUCAACUGGUUGUUGGGAGGGUUUCUUCUCAGUAACGUAGCUAACGCGUGAAGUUGACCGCCUGGGGAGUACGGCCGCAAGGUUGAAACUGAAAGGAAUUGACGG